rnacentral:rRNA from 1 species
GUAGGUGGCAAGCGUUGUCCGGGAAUUAUUGGGGCGUAAAGCGCGCGCAGGCGGUUCUUUAAGUCUGAUGUGAAGGGCCCACGGGCUCAACCGUGGAGGGUCAUUGGAAACUGGAGAACUUGAGUACAGAAGAGGAAAGCGGAAUUCCACGUGUAGCGGUGAAAUGCGUAGAGAUGUGGAGGAACACCAGUGGCGAAGGCGGCUUUCUGGUCUGUAACUGACGCUGAGGCGCGAAAGCGUGGGGAGCAAACAGGAUUAGAUACCCUGGUAGUCCACGCCGUAAACGAUGAGUGCUAAGUGUUAGGGGGUUUCCGCCCCUUAGUGCUGCAGCUAACGCAUUAAGCACUCCGCCUGGGGAGUACGGCCGCAAAGGCUGA